GGGGAUUUAGCUCAGUGGUAGAGCACUUGCCUAGCAAGCACAAGGCCCUGGGUUCGAUCCUCAGCUCCA
rfam:Rattus norvegicus chromosome 15, whole genome shotgun sequence.